UCUGCCGCGUCGGUUGUGCCAAGGCGCACGAACACAGUACCGUACCGUACCGAAGCGUACCGUACCUUUCCAGGCCGACAUUUGCCGACGGCGUCGGAUGAGCCCUAACGCGUAAAUAAACUAUUCAUUUUGUGAGCCCAGCUUUGCUACGCUUAAUGGAAUAUUUCAACCGAAUGUGGAAUAGAACAUGGCGAAUUUAGUCAAAAUGCGUGCAAUUAUUCAACGCCUGACAACCAAUUAAUUGGCUAAAGAGUGCGCCAGGCAGGCAGCCAGCCAGCCAGCAGUGAGAACGGGAGAGCCGGAGCGAGUACACAGAGCUCGAGGCAACAAGUUAGGCGCAACCGUCGAGCCGGUUAGCGCCUCCCAAGUGCAUCAACAAACAGCAAACAGAGCGGCAGUGGCAGGCAGUGGCAGUGGCAGUGGCAGCAGCCACAAAAACUUGACCGAUUUUUCAAUCAAUUCGGCGACGGCCGUGUCGCUAAUCUCGCCCAGAGAGCUCCGUUCACAAUCGCCAUCGAAAUCGCGAUGAUUUAUGCAGCUUGUUUGGAAAAUUCCAUCAGAAUUCCAGAGCCCAAAUACUCGAUCUCGCACAUAUUUGAUAUGUAAACCGCGAAUCGUGUAAACAAUAGAGUAAACAUUCCACAAGCCGACGAUAUUGGGUGGCUGCGCUCCGUUUGACUUGACUAUUUGGGGGCGUGCAUAUUGACAUUGA